rnacentral:sRNA from 12 species
AGCCUAAACUAGUGACAUCACUGGCAUGGCGAAAAAGUCCUGACGGACACAAAGAACCCAUCAUAUGGGGUGUCCGUCAGGCCAUACCGGGAAACUGGUAUGAGAGGCUUCGGCCUCU